rnacentral:lncRNA from 1 species
CCUUCACCGUUUUCUUUUCUUCAUCCCCCUUCACCGUUUUCUUUUCUUCACCCCCCUCGUUUUUUUUAGCUUUCUCUCCUUUCCGCGUUUCAUAAAAACAACCACAAACCCACUCCUAUUUAAUACCCACACUUUGUUCAAUCACCCCAAGUUUGAAGCAAUUAGUGUUUGAGUAUUACUAUUUUUCCCAAACUUUGUUUGAGUAUUACAGUAAAAAAAUCAGAUACCCACUCUUUUAUUACUAUUUCAAGUAAUUAGUGUUUGAUUAUGUCUAUCUCAAAUUCAAUCCCAAGUGCUGGUGCUUGUGAUUGUGAUGCCAUGCAUUCAAUCACUCAUUGCUUCAUUGGCGUACAAUACAGGUAUAUGUUGAUUUUAUGGGAGGCCAUAAGUCCCCCUUACAUUCAUUGUAUGCAUGAAUGCACGUAAAGGUGCUUGACAACUUUAUCUGCCAGUUUGUAUGUGCACAUUGUGAACCCUUUGAGUUUGAGGCUUACUGCAGCAUGUAAAAAAUGCGGGAUAUAUGCAGCCAGAACAAAAAAGUAAGGGGAAGUUAUACUAACAAAGCCAAACCUCAAGGGAGGUAAGUGUUUAUUCCCCAAGAAAUAAAGUUGCACCCUGAUUAAUAGUUAUAGCUUUUGGCCUAGUGGAAAUUGUUUGAUCCAAAUAUCACAUUCUUGGUCAAGGGAUUUGAUUUCUGUGAUAGUUUGAUAUUUCAUUCUUUUUAUUACUUUAAUCAACAAACAAGGAGCUAGCGUGUCAUCAUUGCGACAUAAGGGUUUAUUUGUCUUUUCUUGCAAUUUGAUAUUUUUCCCGCUCAUUUUAUGUAUUGCUACAAAAUUUUAUUUUUUGUAUCAUUAAUUUCAAAAGAAUCUAUGCCUCAAUUGUUUGGUAGGUAGGAGUAUAAAUGAAUUGUUCACAGAAAUGGUAAUAUGACUUCUCUUGGUAAAUAUGUUUCUCUGAAUUGACACCAGUUCGUGCCACGUGCAGAGAAUGUGAACACGUGGUUUUGGAUGAAUCUUUUAUUUAUACAUUCUUUAUCCUUUUGCUGUUGUGUUUAUAUCACAAACCUAGAUAAAAAAAGCUGCGCAAGAAAAGUGGACGAAGGAAGAGACCUUCCCAGUAUUUCGUGGAGAAAGUCUGCUUUUCCAAUGGCACCUAAGAGAGAAGAAGCAGGCCCUAUUCCUACUGGAUGGGCUUCAAAACCUUUAGUGGAAAAGAGUGGUUCCAAAUCGGUACUUAGUAAUCUCCGCUAGAUUAUUUAUUUUAUUUUAUUCCAACCUAGUGGGAAUACGGCUUGAUUGUUGUUUGUUAUUUAUUUUAUUUUAUUCCAAAUUGGUACCUAGUGGAAUUAUUGAAUUGUAGUAAGGGCGAUCAAAAUUUUGACUUUCGUUAGUGUUCAUGUGACUAGCUAUCUUUUGAGGGUGAUUGUUCAAUUGAUUUCAGUUCGUAAAUGCAGAUUGUGUUGCCAAUUUCAUUCAGCCUUUUGAAUUGAUGAUUUAAUAUCAUAUCUACUAAUUAAAUGCUAAAAUUUAUGAUUUCCUCUUACUUCGAUCGAAAACACCUAGCAAUUUAUGAUUAAUAUACCCAGACCAGAAUUUGAUUCCAUUUUGAUUUUCUUUUUUUAUAAAAAAUAUUACUUCUCAUGUUACUUCUGGUAUUUUCUUGUACAUGUCAUAAUAGAUGCUAGAAUGAUGCUAUGCGACUGCGAACUGGUAGUAUGGUUCCUUUUUUCUAUAGCAAAGUUCAUAAUGGUUUAAUUGCCUAAGUCUUUGAACUCCAGUGUUGUAUGGAUUUGAGGCAUAUGAUGGAAAUGCAUUGAGCAAUAACUUGUGGUUUGAUACAUUACUAACUAAGCUGUCUUAGGUUGUGGUUGCCCCCAUCCUCCCUGAAUGUAAUCUGUCACUGUCCCUGUAACAUUUUUACCCUUUCAUGUUAUGCCCUAAUGGUUUUUGUGCUCGGUUGUUUCGGUGCAUAUAAUUAUACGACUGAGUAUACUUUUUUGUUUAGAAAAUCAUCCUCUGUUUUCCAAUUUCUCUUGUCUCAUACACUUGCCUCCCUUCUAUUCAGCAGCAUAUUGUCUUUUCCUAGGACAAACAAAAUAUGAAAAGUUACUCAAGUAAAAAAUGCAGAGUGUCAAAUCUUUCACCAAAAAAAUAAUAGUGUGUAACGAAUCAUUGCAUUUGUGUUGAUGGUUGAAUUAAACACAUCAACAUACAUGAAGCUGCAAUUAAAAUUCAUUUUGUGUCAGUAUCAUCAUGGAAGUGGAAUAACUUGUUGAUCUGUGGCUGUAACAAAGUUAUAUCAAAAAAUUUCUCUUAUCCAUGAUACUAGAUAGUUUAGCUUCUUAAUGCCAUAUCUUGUGGUAAAUAGAAGCGUAUGAAAGAUUCUUUUCCUGCUUCUUGUGUUUGCCUUUAUUCAUGAAAGCAGGUCCAAAUAAGUAAUGACCUUCUUUAAACCACACUCAAUGAAUUAAUGUAAACUUGCUUGCUACAUGUGGUAGAUACAACUGCACCUCUCCUUGUUUUGGGAUAAAAUUGAAUGUGUUUUAAAUCAGUGAAUAAGCUUUUCAUAUAGCAGAAUUUAGUGGAAAUUAUCAUGGUGUUUUUUUGUUAGUGAAGUAUAACUAGAACAUAGUGCAGAUUAGGAAGGCUUGUAAAUUACACGUCUGAGGCUCCCUUUGUUAGCUUUAUCAUUUACAGUUUUGCUUCCUUUUCUCUAUCAUGUUUGAUUUGUCAAAGUAAUUGAUAACAUAAAUUUAGAAUAGGCAACAACACUAAUGAAAGUUUAGAUACAUAAUAAACAGCAAACUCUGUCGGGUUAAUUAUUGUGCAAACUGCAAAGCAGACGAACAUUAUAAAUCGAUGUUUUUAUCCAAAAUAAAAAUUUUCCCAGUAAAAAUAAAGGAAAUGAAUUUGUGAAUAAUCUCAACCACUGUAUUCUAUUAUGAAUGUCUACAUUCACUGACUUAGGAAUUUUCUUGUUGUUGCAGUUGUUUUACUGUCCAGCUACUGGGCAACAGUUUGAUUCCUAUUACGGACUCAUGAACUAUGUGAAGUAUGCGAUGAGAAACAAACUUUCCAUUUAUGAGCCGUGUUGUAAAGCAGUUAAAAGGGUAAAGAAUUUGAAGAAACGAGAGCGAGUCAAGAAAACAAGAAAGACAUUAUCUGUCUUGUCACUUCGGAGGAAACAACCAACACGGUCCACAUCAUCAAUUGCUGAACAGACUUUGGAUUCUGCAUCAAUUUCAAGUAAAAGUUCGCCGAGUAAGAAAGAUAGUGAUUUUCAUUUAGAAUUGCACCCUUCACUAGCUGAUGAAGAAUUAGAAGACUCGGAAUCGGAUGAUUCAGCCAGUGACUAGGUGCUCCUUGUUACAACUGUUUCCUCUUAAUAAAGCAUCUUGCUGCCUAGGAUGCUUAUUUUUCCUUUUUUUUUAAUUUAUUUUACAAAAGCCUCUAUUGUGAAUACCUAUUAUACCUUGAGAACUAUUUUGAUGGCACUUUUCUGGGAUGGAUUUUAUAUGCAACAAUAUAGUGUUUGUUUGUUGUUAACUUUUGAGUUUCUAAUUCUGU